rnacentral:rRNA from 1 species
UACGUAGGCAGCAAGCGUUGUUCGGAGUUACUGGGCGUAAAGGGUGCGUAGGCGGCUUCUUAAGUCUGGUGUGAAAUCUCCCGGCUCAACUGGGAGGGUGCGCCGGAUACUGAGGGGCUAGAGUGUGGGAGAGGAAAGUGGAAUUCCUGGUGUAGCGGUGAAAUGCGUAGAUAUCAGGAGGAACACCGGUGGUGUAAACGGCUUUCUGGACCAUAACUGACGCUGAUGCACGAAAGCUGGGGGAGCAAACAGG